rnacentral:rRNA from 1 species
CAGCAGCCGCGGGAACACGAAGGGGGCUAGCGUUGUUCGGAAUCACUGGGCGUAAAGCGCACGUAGGCGGACGCUUAAGUCAGGGGUGAAAUCCCGAGGCUCAACCUCGGAACUGCCUUUGAUACUGGGUGUCUCGAGUCCGGGAGAGGUGAGUGGAACUGCGAGUGUAGAGGUGAAAUUCGUAGAUAUUCGCAAGAACACCAGUGGCGAAGGCGGCUCACUGGCCCGGAACUGACGCUGAGGUGCGAAAGCGUGGGGAGCAAACAGGAUUAGAUACCCCGGUAGUCCCUGUCUCUUAUAC